rnacentral:rRNA from 1 species
GAUGAACGCUGGCGGCGUGCCUAAUACAUGCAAGUCGAGCGAAUGGAUUAAGAGCUUGCUCUUAUGAAGUUAGCGGCGGACGGGUGAGUAACACGUGGGUAACCUGCCCAUAAGACUGGGAUAACUCCGGGAAACCGGGGCUAAUACCGAAUAACAUUUUGAACCGCAUGGUUCGAAAUUGAAAGGCGGCUUCGGCUGUCACUUAUGGCUGGACCCGCGUCGCAUUAGCUAGUUGGUGAGGUAACGGCUCACCAAGGCAACGAUGCGUAGCCGACCUGAGAGGGUGAUCGGCCACACUGGGACUGAGACACGGCCCAGACUCCUACGGGAGGCAGCAAUAGGGAAUCUUCCGCAAUGGACGAAAGUCUGACGGAGCAACGCCGCGUGAGUGAUGAAGGCUUUCGGGUCGUAAAACUCUGUUGUUAGGGAAGAACAAGUGCUAGUUGAAUAAGCUGGCACCUUGACGGUACCUAACCAGAAAGCCACGGCUAACUACGUGCCAGCCGCCGCCGUAA